rnacentral:lncRNA from 1 species
GCUGUAGUCAGAACAGAAUGUAAUUGAGAUAAAAUGAAUUUUCAAAAUAAACUGUUGCAAAUUGUAGGAAAAGAAUAACAUAAUAUAUUUAUAAUUAUAAGUUAUUGAAAUAUUAUAAUUACCUCAUUUCAGACAGAAGUACAAGCGAACAGAAGACACAUUAAAGUGGCUGCAGAAGCUUGAAAAGUUAGAUAGAGCAGGGACAGUCAAAACUGUGGGAUAAUACUUCUAUGGUGUCCAACAUGUUUAGUCAGGUUGACAGAAGUGAAAGAUGGUCUGAUGGUACAAUGAUGUACAAAUGAUACUCUUUAACAAGUUUAACAUGUCAAAGUGUAAAAUGUUCUGUGGAUUCAUAUGAUGAGAAUGCCAAUGUUGAUCUGUAUGACUUAAUUAA